UACAGAGGGUGCGAGCGUUAAUCGGAAUUACUGGGCGUAAAGCGCACGUAGUCGGCUUUGCAAGUCGGGUGUGAAAUCCCCGGGCUCAACCUGGGAACUGCAUCCGAGACUGCAUUGCUAGAGUAUGGGAGAGGGAAGCGGAAUUUCUGGUGUAGCAGUGAAAUGCGUAGAUAUCUGGAGGAACACCGGUGGCGAAGGCGGCAUCCUGGACCGGUAUUGACGCUGAUGCGCGAAAGCCAGGGGAGCAAACGGG
rnacentral:rRNA from 1 species